AUGAUGCAACCUCUUCCGGACAUUGACAAGGCCUUCUCGCUAGUGAUUCAGCAAGAACGGGAAUUGAACUCCGGUACUCCCUUUACCUCCACGGAGAGUCCUUCUACUGAAUCUCCUGCCACUGCUCUUCUGGUCAACACCCAUACCAAUGGCAAAGGAGUGUCUUACGGCAGAGGAAAAGCACCAGCAACAACAACAAGAAGUGGUUUGCUUUUGAAAGCGUUUUAUUCUGCAAACACUGCAAAAAGCUAA